CCUACGGGAGGCAGCAGUGAGGAAUAUUGGUCAAUGGGCGCGAGCCUGAACCAGCCAAGUAGCGUGAAGGAUGACUGCCCUACGGGUUGUAAACUUCUUUUAUAAAGGAAUAAAGUGAGGCACGUGUGCCUUUUUGUAUGUACUUUAUGAAUAAGGAUCGGCUAACUCCGUGCCAGCAGCCGCGGUCAUACGGAGGAUCCGAGCGUUAUCCGGAUUUAUUGGGUUUACAGGGAGCGUAGAUGGGUUGUUAAGUCAGUUGUGAAAGUUUGCGGCUCAAACGUCAAAUUGCAAUUGAUACUGGCAGUCUAGAGGACAGUUGAGGUAGGCGGAAUUCGUGGUGUAGCGGUGAAAUGCGUAGAGAUCACGAAGAACACCGAGUGCGAAGGCAGCUUACUAAACUGCCACUGACAUUGAUGCUCGAAAGUGUGGGGAGCAAACAGGAUUAGAUACCCUAGUAGUC
rnacentral:rRNA from 1 species